rnacentral:rRNA from 1 species
AUUGAACGCUGGCGGUAUGCUUAACACAUGCAAGUCGAACGAUGAGAAAGAGCUUGCUCUUUCGAUUAGUGGCGGACGGGUGCGUAACGCGUAGGAAUCUACCUAUUAGUGGGGGACAACUUAGGGAAACUUAAGCUAAUACCGCAUACGCCCUACGGGGGAAAGAAGGGGAUCGCAAGACCUUUUGCUAAUAGAUGAGCCUGCGUAGGAUUAGCUAGUUGGGGGGGUAAAAGCUCACCAAGGCGACGAUCCUUAACUGGUUUGAGAGAAUGAUCAGUCACACUGGAACUGAGACACGGUCCAGACUCCUACGGGAGGCAGCGGUGGGGAAUAUUGGACAAUGGGCGAAAGCCUGAUCCAGCAAUACCGCGUGUGUGAAGAAGGCCUUAGGGUUGUAAAGCACUUUCAGUAGGGAAGAAAUCCUGGGGGAUAAUACUCCUCAGGCUUGACGUUACUUACAGAAGAAGCACCGGCUAACUCCGUGCCAGCAGCCGCGGUAAGAC